rnacentral:rRNA from 1 species
UACGGGGGGGGGCAAGCGUUGUUCGGAAUUACUGGGCGUAAAGGGCUUGUAGGCGGCCAACUAAGUCCGACGUGAAAUCCCCAGGCUUAACCUGGGAACUGCGUCGGAUACUGGAUGGCUUGAAUUCGGGAGAGGGAUGCAGAAUUCCAGGUGUAGCGGUGAAAUGCGUAGAUAUCUGGAGGAAUACCGGUGGCGAAGGCGGCAUCCUGGACCGACAUUGACGCUGAGGAGCGAAAGCUAGGGGAGCAAACGGG